rnacentral:rRNA from 1 species
AUACGGAGGGUCCAAGCGUUGUUCGGAAUCAUUGGGCGUAAAGCGGACGUAGGCGGCUUGGCAAGUCAGAUGUGAAAUCCGAGGGCCCAACCCUGGAACUGCAUUUGAAACUGCCUCGCUAGAGUCGCGGAGAGGAUGGCGGAAUUACCGGUGUAGGGGUGAAAUCCGUAGAUAUCGGGAGGAACACCAGUGGCGAAGGCGGCCAUCUGGACGCCGACUGACGCUGAGGUCCGAAAGCGUGGGGAGCAAACAGGAUUAGAAACCCCGGUAGUCC